GGGUGUGAGGGCAAUCUGUCUGAGGCAUCUGACACGCACUGAUCGCCAGGAUUGAUUCAGCUGAUCAGGCUGUCUAAGCAGGUGUCCCUUUCCUCCCUCAUGGCUCCAUGUGUGUCAUUCUUGAAACUGCAGCUCAACUGAGGAGGAUGGCUUUCCCCAUAUAAAAGAGGAUCAGUCUUUGGUCAAGGGAAGACUAGCAGCUGUAGAGGAAUUUUAAUCCAGUAACAUGGCUGCUCUGGCAAGGGAUCAUAUCUAAAUACCUGCUAGGUCUAUCUGGUUAAUAUGCAGGCAAGCUCUGGAUUAUAGCAUGAUCU
rnacentral:snRNA from 1 species